UAUUGAAGACAAUCAGAAAAGUUGUUGCCAAUUUAUCACAGAAGCAUGGCAUGAUACCUUCCUAAUGACUAAGGUUGCAUUAAUUCUCGCUGUCGCCGGAGCGUGCAGACGAGAGGAAUUGACGACGCAAACAGUGGACGACAUUGUGAAUUUGGGAUCUGCACUAAUUAUAAAAAUUCCAAGGAACUAAGACAAAAAUUACAAGAAAAUUCACAGUUGUAAAUAACAGUGAAGAUUUUCUCAGAAUAUACUGCAUCAAAUACGCUGCACUCCGACCACCGGACCUAAACCAUAAGCGGUUUUCGAUUUCCUUUAGAAAUAGAAGAUAUUUCAGACAACUUAUACAUAUACAGUACCUCUCGGAGGCGAAGUUUAGCUUAUAGCUAUUCUUACACUUAACCUCUUACAAAAAUAACCUACAGUUUACACUACAAAUAUAUAACAGAAAUUCUAGAAAUGAGAUAAUUAUAAGAGAAAAGAAAAAUAAUGAGAUAAAAAAAAUUAUAAAUUUACAGAAGCUUAUAUGAAAAACAACCACAUGAUUCAUUAAUACGUGUAUAAGAUAAUCUAAUACGUAACCUAAUAGUUUAAGAAUUGUUUUUUUUUUAAAUAAGAUUUGAAUAAGGUGGAAAAUACAUAUUUCUUAAAUCGGGCAAUGGGAAGAUCCUUAAUGUUACAGUCUACAGCAUUACAUAUCAUUAUAUAUUGUAACUAAAACAGCGUUUAAAUUUUUUGACAAAUCGUCGUGUUUUCUGAUAUUCGACAUAAAGUGAUAAAUUUUGGAUCUUUUGCAGUCUACUUUUAUGUAUGGGAUACAAACAAAGGUGAUAAAC